rnacentral:tRNA from 1 species
GCGGAUGUAGUUCAAUGGAAGAACGCCAGCCUUCCAGGCUGAAGACGUGGGUUCGAUCCCUGCCGUCCGCU